GAAACGCCUAAGUUGGCUAAUUGUGAAGGGAAGCAUAACUAUUGAUCAAACCCAAGGCGUUGCUAGUCAUAUGCGCCAUGUUAACUAUGCGAGCCCUCACGGUGGUCUUUAGAUUCCCAUUCAUGGCGUUUCCGGCGAACCCAUCAGUGCACGUGUCCUCAUCCGUCAAGGCAGUACUAACCCAUGUUUGUAUGUCAUCCAUCAUGAGCCCAAAAUUGGAGCCUUUUAUUUGGGUCAUCUCCCCCAUUGCUCUUCGAAGCUGAUCUACUGAGUCGCUCAACUCUUCCACACAGUCGUGCAUGGCUGCAACUUCUCUAGGCUUUAGGCCAUGACUUUGCACCAUCUUUGACAUCAGGGAUGAUGUAGAUCGUGCGGUUGAAAGGGUCACAGCAAGGGCUGUGUCUGCUAGAAGCUUUGGGCUGGUUUGGAUUACACUGGCAUGAGCUGAGAGGGAGGUGUAGCAAAGUCUGGGAUAAGUGGUUGUACCACAAGAUGUUCGGAUGAACUCGGUGCUGGCUUUAUCAGCAGCAGGCCUGGCUGCUGAGCUUAAGUUUAUGUAGGAAGUAAGGGAAAGAAAAAUGAGAAGAGCUGGAAGGAAAUGGCUAGAAAAAAAUGAGCCUUCCAUAUCUCUCCUAGUUACUUGCAGAGAAACUUGGAGGUUAGGGAUGAGACUAGGGAAUAGAAGGGUAGUCCUUUUAUAGACGAAUUGGAAAACUUCUAAUGUGGGUUAAGUUAUAAAAAUUAAAGGAGCCAACUCCACAGCAUGACCUAUAUUUCUCAUACACCACUACUUGUUAUAGGUCCCACGAUAAUUCAACUUGUCCAGAGGUCACAAUAGAUGAGUUAAAUAUUAAUAGUAACAGCUGAAGUUCAUGGUUUCCCUUAAUCCAGAAUGUUAGGACUAAUACUUGACUCAUAAGUGGUCAAUCCGUACUUCUUUGUCCCUAACUAGCACGAUAUAUGGGGUUAUGUUAAUCGUUACCCUUCAGCAUGAUUUCAGUGAUCAAAUUCUGAGUUUAUAAGCCUAUCGUUCACCUUAACAUGGUCAAUCCCAAAAUGAAAGUUGACCCCUUCGGUGGAAAGCUCUCAUGGUUCCUGGUAUGAUUUUCCUUAGGUUAUAACUGCAAGCGUGUGUAUAUAUAUAUACCUUCUAAAUAGUAAUUUCCUUAAAAUGGUUUCUAAGCUAUAAAAACUAGUUACUAAUUAAUCUCAGUUAGAUUGAAGUUGUUAGUAUACAUACAUCAAAAACAGUUGGUGAGGUCGACAAGAAAAGGAGGAUAUCAAUAUCUAGAAUUCUAUGAUUCUCAGCUUUCUUUUUCAGAGCAUACAGCCAUGGAACUAUGAUCAACUUGGUGUCACCCACUGGCCCACUGCAGUGCCCAUAUCUCAAUCCGGCUUAUAACUGGCCUAAAUUUUUAGUUUAAAAAAUCAAAUUAAAGGGUAUCCACGACCACAAAAAAAAAAAAAAAAAAAAGACUAAGAGAAGAUAAUGGGUUGCCGUGUAAGAGAUCCUUGGUAGAGGUAGACCACGAAGCAUGUAACAUUUCGAGAGGAAGCUGUGUAUUUGGAUGGCAAACAAAGGAAGAAGGGUUGGGUAAAACUUUGCGCAUGCCCAGAUUCCUUUGAGAUAAAGGGUAAUUUUUUGUUUUUGUUUUUAGAAAGUAAAAUAAUACAUAAUACAAUUAAAUUUAAUAUUUAUUCUUUUAAAAGAAAUUGAAAUAAUAGAAAUUAUAAAUAUUAUGAAAUUUUAAAUCGAGUUUGGGUUUGACUUGGAUUGCUCAAAUCCUUAACUUAUUUCCAAACUGAAUUGAUUUUGGACUCAAAAAGUCAAAUUAAGUAUUUAAAAUAUUUGUUUGGGUCAAAUUAAGUGUACUCAUCCAAGUUGCACUCCCAAUCCUGAUUGCAUCAAUGGAGUAGUCUUUUGGUGCAUGUUCCUUUUGUCUUGAGUUUUAAUCAAUAAACCAAAAGAAGUAGCAUCCUGUCUUACAAAUUAGGAAUGAACUUGAUCCAUAUUCACUCAUCAGUUCAACAUCAUUAGGAAAUUGUGUAGAGUCCCUCUAGCAUAUGUUGUGUCAUACCAUUUAAUAAACCACCAAUGUGGUAGUAUCCGACACAAAGAUAAAUUGAAAGAGGUCUUUAGAGUGUUAUGAAGCAAUAUCUAAUCAAUGCAUUGCCAAAAAUAUUUGACUUUUUUUAUUCAACCAAAAAACAAACACCACCUUCCUUUUUUCUUUUUUUCUUUUUUUAAAUUGGUUAUCAACCUAUACAAUGGUAUGAUCAUUGAAAAGAACCACCAAAUGAUUUAUUAUUUAGACCAAUUGAUGCUCGAAAUAGAAAAAUAUCAUUUUUCUUUUACUACCACGUGUCAAAGAUAGAUUUUCUUAAUAAUUUUUUUAAUAUAUAUAUAUACUCUUCCUCAAUCAAUUUCCUCAUAUUUUGAUACUUAAUUCAAAGAAUUAACUAGGUGGGAUAUCUUAUAAACAACUAUUUGAUUUACAAAUUUAUUAGUGAAUUUUCUUUUCCUUUGUCCAUAAUUUUCCUCGUUUAGAAUUUUUCACAUAAAUUUGUAUAUUCUUAUUCUGCUUUUUAUUUUUAUUUUUAUUUUUUUAUUGUUUAUUCUCAUUAUUGUGUAACAAUAACUAAUAUAUAUAUAUAUAUACUUAAUUCAAAGAAUUAACUAAGUGGGAUAUCUUAUAAACAACUAUUUGUUUUACAAAUUUUUUUAAUGAAUUUUCUUUUCCUUUGCCUAUGAUUUUCCUGUUUAGGAUUUUUCAUAUAAAUUUGUGUAUUCUUAUUUUAUUUUAUUUAUUUAUUUAUUACUUAUUCUCGUUAUUGUGUAACAAUAACUAAUAUUAUGUUAUAUAAACGGUAAAAUAGUAAUCAACAUAAAAAAAAACUAAUAUUUUGAACUAAUAUUUUUAUUUUAGCUCUAAAAAUUUUUCUCUCCUAAAGGACCUAUAAAAGUUAAAUAAAUAAUAUUAUUUUUAAUAAAUAUUUCAUCUGUGGCAAUUGAUUUUUAACAAGUCAUUUUCCAUUACUUACAAUUCUUUUCCAAAAUUAUUGAAUUUGCUCCAUGAUAACUUAUUUCAUUUACAUACAGAUAUCAUGAAGUAGAAGCAGAGUGUCGGCCAGCAAUGCUUUUGGAUUUUUUUUCCUCCCAAUGGUGAGAAAAUGACAACCUCCUAAGAACCCUUUCCUUUGGGGAAGUGAUACCAAGUAAGCACUCUGAAAGGAACAUACACCACCCUUGCGAGUGAUAUAUUGACAUAAGUGAUUUAUAUAGGCGAUGUGUCACUUUCUUUUGUUAAAGAAAUUAGGCCCCCCUCAACUAUCUCUCAUAAAAGAACUAGAAUGCCUAUUUGGCAAUGCUUAGAAAACGAUUAUAACAAAUUAUUUUUUAACAAUAUAUUUUAAAAAUAAUUUUUAAUUAUUUUCAAGAAUAAAAUUCUGUUUGAGAACACAAAUAUGAAAAAUAGUUCUUUCAAUUUAUUCUCCAAAAAAAAUAUUAUACAAAGAAUUUUUCAUAUUUUCAUUUGUUUUUCAAAAUUUAAUAAAAUCAUUUUAUUAAGAGAAAUUAGAAAGAAACUAGUCACUUUCGGUGGACAAUGUGGAAGUUUAUAGAUUUAGUUUAGAUAACAUGUAAAGGAGGUUAAUAGGUGUUUCUUUUAUCCCAAAAAAUGAUUAUUUUUAAUCCUUUAACUAACUCCUUUUAGUUUAUGAAAGCUUAAAGAUAUUUAACACAAGAAACAUGAUUUUUUUUAUGUAGAAAACCAUCCAUAUGACGUUUGAAUGUAAAAAUCACAGAGUCAAAGACCUCUAAUUGCAAAUCCACUAAUCAAAAGUACAACACAAAUUUAUCUUGUAAAAACUAUUCUUAAGUUUUACUCUUUAGCACUUAUAUUGAACUUUACAUCUAUGAUGCAACACCAUAUGUGCUCCCAAUGGAUCUCACCUCAACACCAUGAGAUUGAUUGUUUAAAUACUCCAUUCAGUAUUAUUGCUACUACACAACUCUAACAUUUAUUAGAAGGUGUACAAACUAGAGACCCCUGCAUGUGGGAAGGACACUAGGCAUACACCGGUUGUUAUAGAUGCACAAUUGAUUGACAUUAGUGCACCACCUUAUUAGGAACUGAUAUCAUCCACUGCUCGACCUUUAUAGGAUGGGACUCCAUCUAGUGUUGUUGCUACUUCAUAGCUUCAACCUCGAUUGAAAUGUGUAUGAACUAGAUGAAGUAAGGCUCAUGGGAGGGAGACUAGGCAUACACCUAUUUUUAGAGAUGCAUUAUUGACUAGCAUUACCUCACCACUUGUGGAGGAGACUCUUAUUACACUUACGGAGGUGCCAUUGACCCUAUUUGUAGUACCACUUGUUGUAUCAUCACCAUAACCAUUAGAGGCCACAUUGGUUGAUAAGGAGUUAGUUCCUACAACAAAUGAUGAUAAACAAGGACAAGUGGAUUAUCAUGGUCGAGCACAUGGUAGGAGACGUGGUCAAGGACGUGGGGGAGCAUAUGUCAACCCCAUAGAGCUAAUGGUGGAACAUGCAUAUCAUCAAUAUCCACAAUGGAAGAAGAAGGCUCCUUUAUGUAGUACACAUUGAGGAUGUUACUAUAUAUGACUUGUAUUUUAGAUAUUGUUAAUAUUUUGCAUGUCAUUAUUUUGGACAAAUAGUCAAGACGUAUAUCUAUUAAUUGUUAUUUUUUGGAUUUAGUAAUUGUUCAUUAACAUAAGUUCUAUAGUAUUGUACAUAUUUUAGAAUUAUUUUAGACAAAACAGUAUUGCUACUAUUUUGGAAAGUGUCAACUUAAUUGACAUUUAGUUUACUCAUUUUGAUUGACAUGGAUUGAAAAGUUAAAAUAUUGAUUGUGAUGUAUUCAAAUGAUCAAAUUUAAACAUUUGGUUAUAUUUAGGAAAACUAAUUAAGAGAUAGAUUUUAAUAUUUUUUUUUUUUGAAGUUGUCUCUUUAUUGUAAAAUGAAGUUGUCUCUUUAAGAAAUAACUUUAGAUAAAUUUUGUUGUUGAAAAUUCAAUAUAUUUUUUUUUAAUGUACAAAUUUUGGAUUUUUUUUUUUUAAAAACUCAAGUUAUCUUCUCAAGUAACAACUUCUAUCAUAUUUUAAUUUUUUAAUACAAAUUUUUAUCUUCAUAUAAAAAAUAAAUUAAAAUCAAUUUUUUAAUUAAAUUUGAGUAAUUUAAAAUAAUAAAUCAUUUGUUUAACUUUAUUAAAUAAUAAAAUCAAUGUUUGAAAUGGUUAACUUUAAUAAACAAAUAAAAUAAAUUUCAAAUGGUUAACUUUAAUAACUUCAAUAACAUAAAUACCAUUUUUUAUGAAUAGUAAUUACACUUAGUAUGGAAAAUGUUUCUUCAAGAGAUACCUUCAAUAUAAAUUCAAUUUUUUUUUUCAAUAUGUGAUUGAUAUUCAAAUAGAAAGUGUUUUUUUUUAAAGACACCUUUAGUAUAAAAUUCAAUUUUGUGGAAUUGUAGAAGAUGUUUCUUCAAUAUAAAUUUAAUUUUUUUUUUCAAUGUCUAUUAUGAAAAUUGUGGAAUUGUUGGAGGUGUCUCUUCAAGAGACAUCAUUAAUAUAAAUUUAAUUUUGUAAAAUUAUAGAAGGUGUCUCUUGAAGAGACAUCUUUGGUAUAAAUUCAAUUUUUUUUUAAUGUGUGACUAAUAUGAAAAUUGUGGGAGAUGUCUUUUUAAGAGACACCUUUAAUAUAAAUUGAAUUUUGUGGAAUUGUGGAAGGUUUUUCUUGAAGAGACACCUUUAAUAUGUGUGUAUAUAUAUAUUGCAAUGUGUGACAAUAUGAAAAUUGUGGAAGGUGUUGUAGUUCCUCAAUAGUUCACAAGUACCCCUUGUGAAGAUUUUUUUUUUUUUUGUUGUAAUUAGUUGUAAAAAUUAAAAAGCCCUCCAACUGACACAUAAUUGAAUUAUAUAGGCAAAAUUUUAUUUUCUUUUGAUAAAGAAGCUACGUCCCUAAGGCACCCAACAACAAUCUCUCCUAGCAUGUUUGUUUUUUAAAACAGUUAUUAAAAAUUGAUUUUUAGGAAUAACUUUUAAUUACUUUAAAAAUAAAAUUUUGUUUAAGAACUAAAAUAUGAAUAAUGGUUUUUUUAAAUUUAAUUUUUAUGAAAAUAUUAUGUAUUUAUGUAUAAUACAAAAGUUUUUAUAUAUUUUUAUAUUUUCAAUUAUUUUUUAUAAUAUUUAGGAAAAAUACCUUAAAACAUCUUAAAUUCAUUUUAAAAAACACAUGUUUUGUAAACAAAUUCUAUUAGGGUAUUUUAUUUAGCUAACAAUUUUGUUCAUUUCUUACUAAUUCAAUACAACUUACUUCCUUAGGUUUUAUUUAUUUCAAGAUAACUUCAAACUUUAUCAAAUUCGGAUUCAGAUUAUUUGAAGUUGUAAGAUUAAGGUAAGUAUGUAUUUAUGGUUGAUAAAGCUUUUGGAUUGCCUAGUAUAAGAAAUUAGGAAGAUAAUAUUUCCUAUUUUCUAAUUGAUUUCUAAUAUACUUUUUUAAUUCCAACUCUUAAACUUUUAAGAUCUUUCUUGAGAGUAACUUUCAACUACAACAAAUUAAGGUCAAAGAUCUCAUAAUGAAACUUUGAUAAGGCCUUUGAAGGAUCUACUAAAGAGCAUAAAGUAUUAUGUCAGCACAUGGAAAUGAGUAUUACUGUUGAUGGUAUAAGACCCUAGAGAGUAUGUGCAUUCAAUCAAAUAAAACUAUAUAUCAUUUUAUUAUAUUUAGUGGAUUAUUCAACGGUCGAGAGACCACCCUUAGUUUUUUAUACCUAGUAGGUUAUUAGGUGUUUUUUCCAUUUUAAAUCUUGUGUUCAUUUGUGUGAUUGAAUUUAUUUUUAUCUAUAUGAGAUUUUUGCUCUCUCUAAAGAAUUAAGAUAAAGGGACAAACCUAAAAUAGGUAAUAAAUAUUAAUUUGAGGUCUAAUUUAAAGACUAGUUCCAUUAUACCAAGACUAGGUAUAAAAUUUCUUUCAAAUUGUUUUACAAAAAAGUUUAUUAAACAUAUGUGGACAUUAUUUUCAACAACUCUAGCAAACAAGUCCCUUUUAUCUCUUUCUCUUUCUUAUUUUUUAUAUUUUAUUUUUUUUUAACUUUUUUUAAUCAUCUAACUUUUGUUGUUAUUAUUAGAAAAUUUCCACACCUAAAACUCAUCAUUCAAAAUAAUGAGAAAUCAUUCAAUUUUAUCUUUAAAUUGAAAAUAAUUGUUUCCAACUUUUAAUCAUGGAAAGUAAUAAAUCAAAUUAAUAAUAUUACCAUUUUCUUACUAGACUAUUGUAGAGAGAAAUAAGAGAAAAUAAUAACUUUCAAUAGACAGUAUGUUGAUUAUAGUACUUGCUUGGGUCCUCUGCACAUGAUCAUUACAUCCUACUAUAAAGAGGGCUUAAACUAUUAGACAUUAAAGAUUGGGGGUUGACUCACAUAAAAAAGGAGCGGAGAAGCAGAAUUGUUUUGCAUUUUCUCUUGCCUCUACUGUACAUCUCCUUGGUAAGAUGUGAUUUGAAAGGAAUUGAAUUCAAAACAUUAGAUAUGCCAAUAAUUCGAGAUGGGGAUUGGUUGUGUGUGUUGAUUCCUCAUUUGCAUUAGUUUCUAUCUUAUGCUUGUAUUACUAUUGUUUAGGAUGGUUACAUGAGAUCAUCCAAUCUCAAUAUUACAUGCGAAAUGCAUCUCAUGAUUCAUGUUGUACGAAAUUGAUCUCCGUCGAGAACAAUUUUUUUCUUCCUAUGUUUGAGAUCUUGCUUUAUACUAUAUAGGUGUCACAUCACAAAACCCACUCUAAGGGCAUAACAAUCAUUUCACAUCUCAAACAUGAAGGCUCAAAGUGGAAACAACACAAACAUUUAUCUUGUAACUGGAUGGUUUCCAAUUACUAAAUUCUUGUUCAAAAUAGUAAAAUAAAUAAAUUCUAUAAUCUUCAAUUCUCAACUUUAGGAUUAACACAUCAACCAAAGUGUUAGUGUUCAAAUAACUCUAAACUCAAAUAAUUUCAAUGAGAAUUAAAUUUUAAUAUUUAAAAAAUGUCCAAAAUAAAAUUUGAACCAAAAUCCUAAUAAAAAAAAUUCCUUAGCUUAGCCAUCACUCCUCCUCCAAAUUGAGAGUACUUGAAAAUUUUUCAAUGAUGGGAAUGAACUUAAAGCCUAAUAAAGAACAUUAAUAUAAUGUCAUGAAUCAAACAUUUUUAAUUUUAAUUACAAAUAGGAGAUAUAACGUAUAAUCAUUUUCCUAAAAACUUUUGAGUUCAACAUGCUAAUACAUUCAAAACUUUUCAAUCAAACAUUUUCAUAUUUAUGUCAAAAUAAUUUCAUAUCAAAACCAAAUCAAAUACAUUCAAAAUAUGUUUACUCUGGUUAUUAAGUAACAAUGGAGCCCAAUUGGGUGAGACUUCACAAAUAAGUGACAAUCCUCAAAUUUGUCCAUUUUAAAAUGGAUGAAACCAAAGGUCAACAAUUAUAACCCGUUGACUAGAAUUGAAAAAGUAAAAAAUUAUAACUCGUUGACUAGUUUUAUAAAAAAUGAAGAAAUCGCAAAAUCUGCUGAAGAAUACUCUGUUUUCAUUAACUAGAAAAAAGGAAACAACAAGCAUAUAUAUGUAUUGGGGUUAGAGACGGAUUGCACCUUUAACUUGAUUCCAACUCACCAAGGAUAAUAGAAAAAGAAAAAAAAAACUUAUCUAACUAAUUUCUUACUCUUUUUUAUUUAUUUAUUUACAAAUAAGCCCUCAAAUUUAAUACUCCCCCUCAAAAUGGAGUGUGUGUAUAUAAUGAACACUUAUCUUGCUUAGUAGAAGAGUGAAUUGAGUUGGAAAGAUGAGCUUUGUCAACAAGUCUGUUAUUUGGUGUCGUGAAGCAAUGUGUAUAGUCUUCAAUGUUCCUUUUUGAAUUUUUUGCUCAUAUUAAAUGGCAAUCGAUCUCGAUGUGCUUAGUUCUUUCGUGAAAGACUUGAUUAACCACAAUGUGUAAGGUAGCUUCAUUACCACAAAACAAUAUUAUAGGUCCAACAUGAUUUACACCAAGAUCCUUAAGAAGAGAAAACAACCACACUAUCUUACAGGUUGCAUUUUCCAUUGAACGAUACUCAGCUUCAACUGAAGAUCUUAACACUAUGUGCCAUUUCUUGGAUUUCCAGGAAACCAAUGAGUCUCCAAGAAAACAUAAUAACCACUUAUUGAUUUUCUACCUUCAGGACAAGUACCCCAGUCAGCAUCUGCAAAAGCCUUUAGUUGCAAUGAAGUUGAAACAUGAUACAAAAGACCUUGGCUAACUGUGUUCUUUAUAUAUUACAAAACAUGAACAACAACUUGUAAGUGUGGUACCCUUAGUUUAGCUAAAAAUUUGCUCAAGCAAUUCACUACAUAAUAUAGGUUUGGUUUAGUAAUUGUCAAGUACAAUAACUUUUCAAUUAUACGCUUGUAUUACAAAGGAUCAUCAAGAAGUUCUCCAUCAUCUUGAGCAAGUUUAACAUUUACAUCCAUGAAGGUUUUGCAAGUCUUACACCCAAGAUGCCUUGUAUUUGACAAGAGUUGUAAAGCAUAUUGGCGUUGACAAAUAGAAAUUCCUUUAGAAGAUCUUGCCACCUCAAUGCCAAGAAAAUACUUCAAAUUUCCCAAAUCUUUCAACUUGAAUCAGUUGUUCAAAUAUGUUUUCAUAUUUUUAACCUACUCAAGACUAUUGCUUCCUAUAAUGAUGUUGUCAACAUACACUAAAAGAGCAAUGAAGCUUUGUCCUUUAGCCUUGGUGAAAAGAUGGUGAUCUACAUGAGAUUAUUUGAAACUAAUUUCAAAGAGAAUUGUAGAAAAUUUUGAAAACCACUGAUGUGGGGCUUGCUUUAACCCAUAGAUAGAUUUAUGCAGUCUACACACAAUGUUUCCAAGUAGAGAAAUCUCCCCCUCAUGGUGAUAUCCUGGUAGAAGUUCCAUAUACACUUCCUCUUGUAAAUCACUGUGCAAGAAAACAUUAUUUACAUCCAACUGUGUCAAACUCCAACCAUAAACAAUAGACAAAGAGAAAAGAACCUUAACCAUUACUAACUUUGCAACAUGAGAAAAUGUGUCCAAGUAGUUAAUACCUUCCUGUUGUGCAUACCUUUUGGCCAUUAAGUGGGCUUCGUAAUGCUCUAAACUACCAUUCGAUCGAUACUUAAUAUGAUACACCCAUUUGCAGCCAACAAGGUGCUUACUAACUGGAAGAGUAGUCAAUGUCCAUGUCCCAUUGCUUUCAAAAGUUUUCAACUCUACCAUCAUAGCCUCAUUCCAUUCAAGAAUCUUAGCAGCUUGUGAAUAAGUGGUUGGUUCAGAAUGAGAAGAAAUGGCAUAAAAAAAAAAAAACUUUGUGGUUAGAGGAAAGACGAUCAUAGCUAAGAACAUGGGAAAGUGGAUGAGCUGUGGGAACAUUAUUAUGGGACACAUAGUUGCAAUGGAAAUCCUUCAGAUAGGAAGAAGGUUUAAUGACUCGAGAGGACGAGAAGAUCUAAGAUUUUGUGAAGAUGGAGCAAUAAUAGUAGUGGUGAAAUCAACACUUAGAUCAAUAGAAUUGGAAAGAGGAGUGAUAAUUGGUAUACGACAUGGCAACACUUGAUCAUAAAAUAAGUCAAAAGAUUUGAUAACUUGUGGAAUAGAUGUGAAGGGAAAGACAGUCUCAUGAAACACGACAUCUUAUGAUAUGAAAACAAUAUUGGUACUAAGGUUUAACAGUUUGUAUCCCUUAUACCCAUGUGGAUACCCGAGAAAAACAACAGGCAAAGCUCUUAGGGAAAAUUUUGUUCGAUGAUGCUUAAGAGUAAAAGCAUAACACAAGUAGCCAAAGGUCUUCAAGUGACUAUAUGAUGGUUUCUUAAACCACAGAUGUUCAAAAGGGUUUUGUUAGAAAAAAUUGGAGAUGAUAAUCAAUUAAUUAGGUAUGCAGUAGUUAAGACACAAUCCCCCCCAGUAUUCUAAAGGCAUAUUUGACUAAAAUGCAAGGCUCUAACAACAUUUAACAAAUGUUGGUGCUUGUGUUCUAUCACAGAGUUUUGUUGUGGUGUGUCCACAUAAGAAUGAAAAGGAUGAAUGCCUUUGGAACCAAAAAAAUCUGUAAAGGCUAAUGCAGGGGCAUUAUUUGUUCUCACAUAUUUAAUUUUAGCACCAAGUUGUGUGUUUAUGAGAGUGUAAAAAUAAGGAAAGAUGCUCAGAACAUCGAAUUUUUGUUUCAACAAAUAGAUUUAAGUAAAACAAGUGCCAUCAUCCACAAUGGCAAACAAAUAACGAUGUCAUUCCACAAUUUACGGGGUAAAAGGACCUCAUAUAUCAUAAUGCAUAAGAUUAAAAAGACAAUCAAACAAAGAAUUUGCUGAAACAAAUGGUAAACGCUCUUGUUUAGCAAGUGGAAAAACAAUGCAAGGUAAAGAAUCACCAAAGAUUUCUGAAAUUUUUAAUUCAUUCUUCAAAAUUUGAAGUUUUACAUAAGAUGGAUGACCUAAACGAAAAUUCCAUAAGUCCUUUUGAGUCAAUUUGAUAUUAUUACAAACACUGGAGAAACAAGAAGAAAUUGAGAACAAGUUGUUUGGAUUCAAAAUGUAGAGAUUACCAACACGGUUACCCAUUCCAAUCGUCCUCCCCUGUGAGAGGUCCUAAAGAGUACAAGAAUCAGAAGAAAAAUUAAUGGAAAUGGAGUGUUGACAUGUAAGGAACUAACAGAAAGCAGAUUGAAACAAAAAUUGGGAAUGAACAAAACAUUAGCAAGAAUAAUGGUAUCCAUUAGUCGAACAUAUCCUAUACGUGAUAUGCUAACAAAAUGACCAUUUGGCAACAUAACAUAAGAAUUAAAAAUUGGUUUGGAAUUGAUGAAAAAAAUCUAAAACACAACAAACAUGAUGUGUUGCUCUAGUAUCCAACACCCAUGAACAAGGAGAAAUAGUUGAAGAGUUGUAGGUCAGAGAGAGAGAAAUAUUACCACUAAAGCUCGACACGAAUGAACUAAGCUGUGGAGUAUCCAUCGAGGUUUGAGAUCCGAUUUGAAGUUAUGAGAUCAAGAAUGUAAUGAGUUGUUUACACUGAUCACUAGUUAGAGUGUUCAGUGGUGAAUCCUAUGGAGAUGACGUAGAUCCAUCGAGUACAUUGGAUCUUGUUUGAUUUAUUUAGACCUUUGGUGGAUUCUAUUUUUGUGAUGUCCCACAUCAUAUAGGAGAGAAAGUUCCUGGCACUAUAUAUGUAGAGGAUCCUCUUAACCAAGUAGACGCGUUUUAAAGCCGUGAGGGCUCCUUUGGGCCCAAAGCAGACAAUAUCUACAUGGUUUGGUGCGGGUCAUUACUAAUGGUAUCAGAGCCAAUCUCCGACCCCGGUGUGGGGGUUUGUUUGGCCCCAUAAGGGGUGUUUGUCUGUUUGGCCCCACAAUCCCAUGGGACACAACGAGGACGUUGUGUCUACAUGAGGGGGGUAUUUGUGAUGUCCCACAUCGGAUAAGGGAGAAAGUUUCUGGCGCUAUAUAUGUAGAGGCUCCUCUUAACAAAGUAGACGCGUUUUAAAGCCGUGAGGGCCCCUUUGGGUCAAAAGCGGACAAUAUUUACAUGGUUGGGAGUGGGUCAUUACAAUUUUCCUUUAGUUUUAUAGCCUAAUGGGUAUCCGUGAAGCUUGUAACAUUUUUCAACGAUAUUUCCUUGAAUAUCACCAUGAGAGCACAAAGGUCUUUUUCAUUUUGAUUUUGAAUUGAAGGAAGCUGCAACAGUAGAAAUGCCAGAAUCACCCAAAAUCUAAGAAUCAUUGGAGAGUGACAAACGUUGAUUAACUGAAUGUUGCCUUUCUUCUUGAACAACCAGGGUAAAAACUUUGGUGAUUGGAAGCAAAAGGUCCAACAAAAUUUGACCAGAAGAAUAUGAGUCAUUAAGACCCAUUAAAAAUUGAAUAACACAUUCCUUUUGUUGAUACUCCAUCCAAUAUUUCAUCACUCCACAAUGACAUAUGGGAAUAGGUUGAAAUUCCUUCAGUUCAUCCCACAAAAUCUUGUGCCUAGUGUAAUAGGUGUUGACAUCAAGUGCACCCUGAUUCAAAGCCAUAAGAGCCUUUCUGACUUGAAAAAUCCGUGGUGCAUUGGUUUGAUGAAAAUGUUCUCUCAAGUUGUUCCAGAUCUAUGUCGUAGUAGAGAUGUAGAGAAGACUAUCAACUAUCUCCUGAGCCACCAAGUUCAAGAUCCAUGAAUUAACCACGCCAUUGCAUCAAUUCCAAGUUCCAUAGAGCAAAUCAUCAGUUGUAGGUUGAGGAAUACUACCGUCAAUGAAGUCCGUUUUGUUCUUGGCUAUGAGAGCCAUCAACAUCGCCCAACUCCAUGUGUUGUACUUGGGGCCAUGAAGAGGAUGGGAAACCAAAAUAAGCCUUGGACGGUCUCCAUUAUGGAGAAAAAAAUGGAUUGGAAAGAUCUUCCAUUAUAGAAAAGGUUGAGCUCAUAACAACCCGAUUAUUGUUUUAUCCUCUACGAGCCAUCAGGAAGAUUUAGAAAAAAAAAAAAACCCAAAUAGAGAAUAGUUGUAGUAGAGGAGAAUGCUUUGAUACCAUUUUACAAAAAUGAAGAAAUUGCAAAAUCUAUCGAAGAAUACUCUGUUUUCAUUAACCAAAAAAGGGGGAACAACAAGCCUAUAUAUAUUGGGGUUGGAGACCCAUUACACCUUCAAUCUAAUUCUAGCUCACCAAGGAUAACAAAAAAAAAAAAAAAAAGCCUUCAACUUUAAUAACUAGGGCUGAAAAUGUCAAUAAUUAUAGCUUGUUGACUAGGACCAUAUAAACUAGAGUCAAAUAUUUUAUUUCAUUAAUUCAAACUUACAAAACAAAACAUCAUGUCUCCACCAUUUUCAUUUUCUAUAAACAAAUAAAAAUGCUUAAACAUAUUUUUCAUGCAAUAUAUAUAUUUGAUUUAUGCAUAGAAAUGAAUAUAAAUUUUUUCAUAAUUCAAAAUAACAUAUAAAAAGAAAUAUAUCAUUUUACAAAAUUUGUAUUAAUUUCCAUUACCUUGAAGAAACACUCAAAAUCUUGAAGAAUUUUAUUUUGAAGAAUUUACCCCUCACCUAACAUAGUAUAAUACACAACUAUUACUAUGGAUUAUUUAUCUAAAUAUAUAAAUUUGGCAAUCUUAAAAAUAUUUUAUUUACUAUUAGUGAUCCUAAUUAAUUUACUAUGUUAACAUUAUUUAUCCUAAUAUUAUAAUUAACUUCCCAAAUAAUGAUAAUUUAAUUAAUGAGUUUCCAAAUUUUUAUAAAAGUUGGUUCCUUCCGAAAUCUAUUCCUAAUAGUUUAUUUCUCUUUCCUAAUUUAUUUAAAUUAAAACCCUUAAAAAUAUUUAUCUACAUAUUUUAUCGUUUUAUUAUUUUGAUUCAUUACCCUUAAGAAUAAGGGAGAAUUGGGUUUUAGACCCAUUUGGCUUUGACAAUUAAUAAAGAGUCCUUCAAACACCCAUAAUUGAUUUCAAGGAUAUGAGAUGGGAAUAGACAAAAAUACCCAUUUGACUUAUUUUUGUCUUUAUUCUACCACCCUUCACAUGCCACUAUUCUUUCUUAUUUAACCAUUUUUGGAUUUUUCAUUAUUUUUUUAAACUUUUUAUAAAUAAUUGAAAAAUCAAAAUUAUUUUUUUAUUUUUAAAUUAUAAAUAAACAAAAAUUAUAUUAAUGAUUCAAAGACUAUUUUGGAAAAUACUUUUAAAAAAAAUAUUAAUUUAAAUAAAUAAAAAUUACAUUUUACAUUUAUUUUUAUCUUUUAUAUUUUAGAAGUAAAUAAUUUAAUGAUUAAAAUACUAUUUAAAAUAAAUAUAUUCACUAUUUUAAUUUUUUUAUAUUAAAAAUUAUUUUAAUUUUUUUUUUACUAUUAUAAAAUAAAACGUUUAUUUUUUUUUAAUCUUCUUUCUUCCUUAUUUUAAUAACUUUUUGAACAUGACUUUUAGUAAUAAGUUAUAUGAAAUGUUACAAAUUUGUUUACUAGGGAUUUAUUUUAAUGAUUUGAAUUAAUUGAAAAUUUAUUAAAAUAAGAAAAAAAAAAGAAAAGAAAGAGGAUGGAUGGAAAGUUUUUAUUUUAAGUACUCAAUUAAAAUGUUUUCAUAUGACCGAACUUUAGAAGUGGAUUAUAUCAAUACAUAGUAGAGAUUGAAUUUUUCUUAUAUAAAAGGGUUGAAAGGUAUAUUUACUUAUUUUAGAUGAAAACAAGUAGUUAAAAAUUAUAUAGAUUAUAUUUGAGUUUGGUUUUAAAAUAUUUUUCUAGUUUUUAUUUUUUAUUUUUAAAAAUAAUUUUUAUUUUCUAUACUGUCUCUUUUUGAAAAUAUUUUUAAUUAAAAAAUGAAAACUAUUUUUUAAAAUGAAAUUGAAAACCUUGUUUAUUACUAUUUUUUAUAUGAAAAAAAAAACUAUUUAUUUAUUUAUUGCGUCACUGUACAAUUGUAUUACAUUAACUAUAUAAGGGAAAUGUACUAAAUGUAUAAAGGUGUACAAGGUUACUCUUUGUGAAAAUAUUAUAAUCGAUUAUGAGUCAUUCCUUUAUUUUUUUUAUCACUCAUGAAUUGUAAUAUUAUAAUCGAUUAUAAAGGUGCACUUUAUUUAAUUUCCGCAUGGAAAUUCCAAUAUUUUUCCUAAUAAUAAUAUUUGGAGAAAAAAAAUUUUGACCUUAAAUCAUCUACCAUCUUCUCAACUAAAUCAUUGAAAAUAUGAUUAAACACUCCUACGUGGACACAUAACUUAGGAGGGAUAUAAAAUUUGUGUCAUUGUACAAGAGUAUUACACUAAUUGUACAAGGGAAAUGUACUAAUUGUACAAAAGUGUAUAAGAUUACCCUUUGUGAAUGAUUUUAAUUGAUUCUAAACUACUUUUUUAUUUUCCUUGUCACCCAAUGAUUGUACACGUAUGUCAUGCACUUUAUUUAACUCUUAUAUGAAAAUUCUAAUAUUUUUCCCAAUAAUGAUAUUCGGGGAAAAAAAUUGACCCUAAGUCAUCCACCAUUUUUUCAACCAAACCAUUGAAAAUAUGAUUAAUACACCUACAUGGAUAUAUAAAUUAGGAGAUAUAUGAAAUUUGUAUCAUUGUACAAGGGUAUUACACUAACUGUACAAGGAUAUUACACUAAUUGUACAAGGGAAAUGUGCUAAGUGUACAAGGGUGUACAAGGCUUCUAAUAGGUUUUAUACGAUUUUUAAAUAACUUGAAUUUGACAUUAAGACGAUUAUUGAUAGUUUUGUUUUUCUUUUUUUACCAAACUAUGUCAUUAAGACAUUCUCUACAAAAAUUAACACAUAGGAAAUAAAAUUAAAAUCAAUCAUGUUUGAAUUGUUCAUUAUAAGUAAACUAAAUGAAAUAUAUAUUUUUACUAUUUUGCCUUUGUAAAUAUAAUUUCAUUGUUAUCAAUAGAGAUUAAAAAAAUCAUAUUUAAAUGGCAUUAAAAAUAAACAAAAAAUAUUUUUAUAACAUUUUUAUUUUUUUAAAUCAUUAAUUUAAAUUAUGAAAUUAGUUUUAAAGUUAAAAAUAUUUGUUGUAAUUAUAGUUUUGAAGAUUUCAUGAUUUUUAUCUUAUUACUUUGAAAAAAUUGCUUUAAUAAGAAAUUAUUUAUUUUAAUGGUUUUAAAUAUUUAAAUCUUUAUUAAAAAAUAUUAAGGAUUAGUGUGGAGAACAAUUAGGUAAUUUUGGAAUGGAGAAAUUUUGAAUAUUUUUGAAGACUUUAAUUCGGCCAAUUACCCUAUUUACAUUUUCAAAAUUAUUGGAAGGUUGGUAAAUUAGUCUUAUAAAUAUUGUCUUCUUGAUUAAUAUUAUAUAUAUAUAUAUAUGCAUGUGAAUAUUUACAUUAUAUUCAAAAAAAUAAUAAACACCACGUGCCUAAUUUGCAAGUUAGAAAAAAAAAAUUAAUAAUAUUUUAUAAGGUAUUUAAAAAGUAUUUAUUAUAUGUUCUAUAAAUUUGAAAAAAUAUAAUAUUUGAUGAUAUCUAAUUUACAAGUUAGAGUAAACAAAUAAUACUAAUAUUUUAGGAGGUGUUUAAAAAUUAUUUAAUAUAUAUGAGAAAUAAUAUAGGUUUGAAAUAAAGAAUGAUAUUUAUUAUAUAUUAUGUAAGUUUGAAAAAAAGAAUAAUAUUUGAUAAGGUUUUUAAAAGUUAUUCACUUCAAAAAUACAUUUGGUAAUAAUAAUUUUUAAUCAUCUUUCAUAUUUGAUGAAGAAAAAUGAUUCAAAUUGGUUUCAUUAUUAAAUAGGUGAGAGAAGGGCAAAAGAGUCAAAGAGAAAAUGAAAAAAGUAAGGUGAUUGGUUAGUUUUUUCAUUUAAUAGUCAAUGGUAUUAUGGAUUUUUUAAAGACAAUAUCCUUACUCUCAAUUUCCACUCUUUCAUUGGGUGUUGGGUUUAAAUAUGAAACUUAUAUGGACCAUAUAUUAAUUUUUGGGCCCAAAACACAAUUUUCCUUAAGAAUAAUCAUUAUUAUUAUUUUGAUUCAUUACCCUCGUCUUCACAUUCUCUUACCUUCUAAUUAUUAUUAAUACUACUUUCCUUAAAAAACGGUGCACAAAUUGUUUUUAUUUAUUUUAUUUUUUUAAAUUAUAAUUAUUAUUUUUCUAUGCAAGCAGUACACAAAUUGACAUUUGUUUAUUAUUAAUAUUAUUUGCUUCCCUUCCUAGGUCAAAGAGCACGUGCAGGUUUUUUUAGGACAUACCUAAUUUAAUAAAAAUAAUUUAAUAAAAUUAUUUUUAUUAAAUUAAAUUAAUUAUUUUUUUAAAAUUAUAGUUUUACCCCUAAAUUGGGUUUGGGACGUCACAAUAGGUGUCCUACGAUUGCAUUGCAUGAGAAAGGGCAUCCUAAAUAGCAUGUGGAGGAGCUAAGAUAUGCCCCGACUUACUAAUAAUAAUGAAGGGCUGAAGAAGCAUACUCUCUUUUGGGUAGACCCUUCCAAGCGGAACCAAUUCCUUAGUGGCUUGCUAGUUGGCCUAGGCUAUCCUUUACUUACUGCUGAACAGUUUCACCACUUCAUUAAAAAUAUGUCUUCCUAUAGCUGCCAUGGGGGAAAUAUAUAUGUAUAUUUUCAAAUGAAAAAGUUUCAUGCUUAAAAUUUGAAAACACAUCAAAGUGUAAAACACUUUUUUUUUUUUUUUUUUUUUGCAUAAAACUAAAAAAAGAAAAAAAAGAAAAGGGAAAUGUAUCUCAAAGGAAACUAAAUUAUUGAAUUCGUCCAUAAUAAUUUAUUUUCAGUUCCACACAGAUACUAUGGAAGCUGAAACAGAUUGUGGCCAGCAAUGUCUUUCGAAUGCUUUAAAAAAUCGCCGACCAUCCAAGUGGCUGGCAUAAUUGAAGCAUGCGGGCAAAGCAUUAUUUCAUUUGAUAAAGAAGCUAGGCCCCGCGCAACUGUCUCUCCCAGAAUAUCUCGGAUGAUUUGUCUUUUUAUAGGCCAUGUUUUCAAAAACGUGUCUAAAUUAAAAAAAAAAAAAAAGAAGAAUUUUUUAUGAAUAUAAAAAAAAAAAAAAAUUAUUUUUAAAAAUUAAUAGCUCAAAUAUAAAAAAUAAAUUUUUGGGCUUAUUGAAAUGAUUAUAUUUAUGUAUAAUGAAUUUUUUUUAAAAUAUUAUUCAUAUUUUUUAUUAUCUUUUUGAAUGUUUUUAAAACCUCAAAUUUAUUCUAAAAAAUGAUAUGAUUUAUAUUUUUAGUAAAAAAAAUUGAUAAAUAUUAUAGUUUUAAAAACCGGACUGGAUCGACAUGUCCGACUGAAUGACCCAGUGGUUGAAUCGCUGACUCGGUGAACCGGGUCACCGGUUCGAGCCUGUAUUCUCUUGGCCAAAAUGGGUCGUGCUGUUGGGCUUUAAAUCUGGGAAGUGCACGGGCCGCUACUCAACUCGCAUCCAGAUGCUGGGCAAGCCAAAAAUAUAAAGGCAUUUUAUUCUCCAUGCCAUUUCGAUGCCACCAUUACCCUAUUAUGACUUAUGUAAACAUUUUCACAUCAACUAAAAAAAAUAGAUUCUUCCCAAAAUUUAUAUAUAUAUAUAUAUAUAUAUAUAUAUAUAUAUAUAUAUAUAUAUAUAUAUAAAUUAAAUAACUUUCAAUAAAUAACUUCGUAUUUAAAUAUUAUAUAUAUUUUAUUUAGUAAAAUAUUAAAAUAUUAAUACAUCUAUAUAAUAUAUACUAAUUUGAUAAUAAUGAACAAAUAAAUAUUAUUAAUUUUUUAUUUCCUUAAGUAUUUAAAUUUUUAUAAAAAUUUUAAAUUUUAAUAAUAUGUAAAUUAUAUAUUUAUGAUCUCACCGAUACAAGAACUGUGAAUAAAUAUGUUAUUUAAGUUAGAAAAAUUGCAUUUCAAGAACCAUAAGAAGAAACUCUUUCUAUCUCCUUCUCCUUUGUUUUCAACCUUCUUCAUCAUCUUCUUCUUCUUAUUAUUAUUAUAAUUUAAGAAAAAUAUUUCUUUAAAAUGAUGAAAAAGUUUCACGCUUAAAAUUUGAAGACGAAGAUGACCACAAUUCAUUCACAAAGAAUACGGUAGCUAAGGUUGAAAAUUGUACUAUAAUGGAUAUGAAGCAACUGACCCAACCAUCAUCUAGCACACAAAAUACAUAUACCGGUACAAUUUCUCUAAUAGACUUGUUACAACCGCUCAAUGGAAGAGCAGUCAGGAUCCACACCUAGUAGCAUUCCAUAUUUCUUGCAGCAAGGCAUAUAGGAUUAAUUAGUACCCCAAUUGAACCUUUGCCGCUUAGAAACGCCUAAGUUGGCUAAUUGUGAAGGGAAGCAUAACUAUUGAUCAAACCCAAGGCGUUGCUAGUCAUAUGCGCCAUGUUAACUAUGCGAGCCCUCACGGUGGUCUUUAGAUUCCCAUUCAUGGCGUUUCCGGCGAACCCAUCAGUGCACGUGUCCUCAUCCGUCAAGGCAGUACUAACCCAUGUUUG
rnacentral:lncRNA from 1 species